GCGCACCAGUCGCGAAAACUCCGCAAUACACGAAAGUGUGACGGGGCUAUCCCGAGUGCCGUCCGCUGAGGAUGGCUUUUCCCCAGUGUAGACAGCUGGGGGAAUAAGGAGAGGGCAAGUCUGGUGUCAGCCGCCGCGGUAAUACCAGCUCUUCGAGUGGUAGGGAUGUUUAUUGGGCCUGAAGCAUCCGUAGCCGGCUGAGCAAGUUCUCUGUUAAAUCCAGCGAUUUAAUCGUUGGAUUGCGGGGAAUACUGUUCGGCUAGGGGCCGGGAGACGCAGAAGGUACUCCUGGGGUAGGGGUGAAAUCCUAUAAUCCUAGGGGGACCACCAGUGGCGAAGGCGUUCUGCGAGAACGGGCUCGACGGUGAGGGACGAAAGCCAGGGGCGCAAACGGGAUUAGAUACCCCGGUAGUCC
rnacentral:rRNA from 1 species